AUAGUGUCUCUCUCUAGGAGGUGAACUACUGUAACAUUUCAGUGUGUUAUAGUGUCUCUAGGAGGUGAACUACUGUAACAGUUCAGUGUGUUAUAGUGUCUCAAGGAGGUGACCUACUGUAACAGUUUGUGUACUGUUGUGUCUCAAGGAGGUGAACUACUGUAACAGUUCAGUGUACUGUUGUGUCUCAAGGAGGUGAACUACUGUAACAGUUCAGUGUUCUGUUGUGUUUCAAGGAGGUGAACUACUGUAACAGUUCAGUGUACUGUUGUGUCUCUAGGAGGUGAACUACUGUAACAGUUCAGUGUACUGUUGUGU